GAAAUAUUCUUAAAUUAACUUAAAAUCACAGUCGAAUACACUUAUUUAAAAACAAGUAAACUAUUUAUGCAUUUUCAAAAAUUAUAACUAAAAAACUAUAUAUGUGAAAAAUUGUAUACACAAAUUGAACAAUGGCAACAGUGGUCAAAUGAAAACAAAAGACAAUAACCGAUUUCUACGUUGCGACUACGGUAGUACGGACGGGCGGAGAUGGCGAUGAACGGGACGAAGUCCUAUUAAAGCCAGAGAACGUAUAUCAUAGAGAAGGUUCAUGAUGUGCCGAUUGUCAACAUGUUCCUCUUCACGGAGGGUUACUCGCCAACAUUAGAGGAGUUUACCACUUGAAAAUUAAAAGAACGCAUAUUAUUCUCUGCUAAAACGCGACUAAUUGUAAUGUAUCUGUUGAUUUUAUAUUGUACCUUAGGCACUAAAAUUUGAUAAAUAAAAUAUACAUAAAAAAACCAGA